GGAGAGUUUGAUCUUAGCUCAGAAUGAACGCUGGCGGCGUACCUAACACAUGCAAGUCGAACGGUUCAGUAUUUACAAGUAGUUGAUUGAGUAGCAAUACUCUUGAUGCCAUGAGUAGAUGCUGAAUAGUGGCAAAAGGGUGAGUAACAUGUGGGUAAUCUACCCUCAAGAUGAGUACAACCCUGAGAAAUCGGGGCUAAUUCUCAAUAGUAUCCUGAAAACUUCGGUUUGAAGGGUUAAAGGUUAGCAAUAGCGCUUGAGGAUGAGCCCGCACACUAUCAGCUAGUUGGUGAGAUAAUAGCUCACCAAGGCUAUGACGGUUAGCUGGCCUAAAAGGGCGGUCAGCCACACUGGCACUGAGACACGGGCCAGACUCUUACGGGAGGCAGCAGUGAGGAAUCUUGGACAAUGGGCGAAAGCCUGAUCCAGUGACGCCGCGUGGAGGAUGAAGGUCUUCGGAUUGUAAACUCCUUUUCUGGAAGAGGAAGUCCCCCGUUAAGCGGGGGGUUGACAGUACUCCAGGAAUAAGCCACGGCUAACUACGUGCCAGCAGCCGCGGUAAUACGUAGGUGGCUAGCGUUAUUCGGAAUUACUAGGUGUAAAGGGCAGGUAGGUGGUUUGGUAAGUUGAAGGUGAAAGCCUCGAUAAAAUCGAGAGGGUCUUUCAAUACUAUCAGACUUGAGUGUAGGAAGGAGAAUCAGAAUUCCCGGUGUAGCGGUGAAAUGCGUAGAUAUCGGGAAGAAUACCGAUGGCGAAAGCGGAUUCUUGGCCUACAACUGACACUGAUCUGCGAAAGCUAGGGGAGCAAACGGGAUUAGAUACCCCGGUAGUCCUAGCCGUAAACUAUGGAAACUAGAUAUGGGAGGUAUCGACCCCUUCCGUGUCGAAGCUAACGCAUUAAGUUUCCCGCCUGGGGAGUACGGCCGCAAGGUUGAAACUCAAAAGAAUUGACGGGGGCCCGCACAAGCGGUGGAGCAUGUGGUUCAAUUCGACGCAACGCGAAGAACCUUACCCGGGCUUGAAGUGCUAGUGGUAUUCCCGAUGAAAAUUGGGGAGACUCGAAAGAGAGCUAGUAGAGGUGCUGCAUGGUUGUCGUCAGCUCGUGCCGUGAGGUGUAUGGUUAAGUCCCAUAACGAGCGCAACCCUUGUCCCAUGUUGCUAUCCCUCGAUAAUAUCGGGGGAGCACUCUUGGGAGACUGCCCUGGUUAACAGGGAGGAAGGUGAGGAUGACGUCAAAUCAUCAUGGCCUUUAUGUCCGGGGCCACACACGUGCUACAAUGUUUACUACAGAGGGAUGCGAGACCGCAAGGUGGAGCAAAUCCCAUAAAAGUAAACCCAGUUCAGAUUGAGGGCUGCAACUCGUCCUCAUGAAGUUGGAAUCGCUAGUAAUCGCUGAUCAGCAGGCAGCGGUGAAUACGUUCCCGGGCCUUGUACACACCGCCCGUCAAACGAUGGAAGCUGGCUGCAGCAGAAGUGCCCCAUUUAUUGGGGCCCCAAGUUGUGGUUAGUGACUGGCGUUAAGUCGUAACAAGGUAGGCGUACGAGAACGUGCGCCUGGAUCACCUCCUUUCUAAGGAGUCAAAGUU
rnacentral:rRNA from 1 species